AUAAAAUGUUGUUGAUGAAGUUUUUUUUAUUGUUUUAUACAAUAAACAAUGUAUAUUCACUUUUACUACCAACCAAUCUUUACCAUUCAGUGAUAACAAGCACUUUAUUUUACAUUUUAAUAUUUUAUGAUGUAUUUAAAAGAGUAGUUAUUGUUGCAAACUGCAUUAGAAAUUUGAAUUGAUAUCAGUUUUGGAAAAAGGGAAACGGGGAUGUAAAAAAAAAAGGGGGGGGGGGUUAAAUUUUUCUCAUUUCAGAUUUCAUAAAUAAAAAGAAAAUUUCUUCAAACAUUUUUUUGAGAGGAUUAAUAUUCAGCAGCAUAGUGAAUUGCUCAAAGGCAAAAAAAACACUUUAAGUUCAUUAGACCACAUUCAUUCUGUGUCAGAAACCUAUGCUGUGUCAACUAUUUAAUUUUAGAUUUAAAAAGUUUGAAGAAGAAAUCUUUAAUUGAUUUGUAAAAUCUUGACAUUUGUUUU
rnacentral:lncRNA from 1 species